rnacentral:rRNA from 1 species
AAUCUGGGACAAUGUGCGAAAGCCUGAUGUCGCAACGCCGCGUUAGUUAAGAAUGUUUACGGAUCAAAAAACUCUGCUGUAAGGGAAGAACAAAUACAGUAGUAACUGCCCGUACCUUGACGGUACCUUUUUAGAAUGCUACCGCUCACUACGUGCCAGCAGCCGCGGUAAUACGUAGGUGGCAAGCGUUGUCCGGAAUUAUUGGGCGUAAAGCGCGCGCAGGCGGUCCUUUAAGUCUGAUGUGAAAGCCCACGGCUCAACCGUGGAGGGUCAUUGGAAACUGGGGGACUUGAGUGCAGAAGAGGAAAGUGGAAUUCCAAGUGUAGCGGUGAAAUGCGUAGAGAUUUGGAGGAACACCAGUGGCGAAGGCGACUUUCUGGUCUGUAACUGACGCUGAGGCGCGAAAGCGUGGGGAGCAAAC